CCCGCGGAGGGACACCGCUAAAGCCACAACCCACCCCGCAUUUUCUUCGUAGAUAGAUUCAUCUGGCUCUCUUCUUCCCCAGAUUGCAACGACCGGCGACGACACUUUGGGGGAUGUCGCCUGCGCCCAGGCGGUGCUCGGAUCCACCGCAACAACUUGCCCCGCGAGCACCCCCUCUUCUCCCUGGAUUGCAGCUGCCGCCGAUGGGAGAUUGGAGCAGGCCGCCCCAUUGGCCGAGCUGGGAUCCACCGCACCGACCAUCCCCGUGAGAACCCGGCCCUCUUGUCCCCCCGAUUGAAGCGACCAGCGACGUCUCUCUUGAUUGAAGGAAGCCACCGCACUGCCGAGCUUGGAUCCACCGCAUUAACCCGCCUCGACCACCCGGCUCUCUUCUCCACUGCGAUGUGUGACAUCUCUCGCUUCAGUUAUUAAACUAAUGCCACCAAGCAAGAGCAUGUGAAGAGACACAGAGGAAGCAACAAGAAGAAUUGGAAGAUGUGAAGAAGAGCCAGCAAGAGAAGAAUGAAGCACAUCAAAAGAAUCAAUAGGAGACGGAUAACCUCAUUGGUUUUCUCGUAAGGGCUCAAGCAAGUCAGUAAGCAACUCAGCAGUCCUAGUCCAAACCAGAAGGUGCAUGAAGACCAUCCUUUUGUGAUGGAAAUAAUUAUUGAAUCAUACAUUGCAAUCAUCAUGACAACACAUGUGGUUUUUAGUUACCUAAAUAUUGCUUUUCAACUUGCCUAUUGUCGUGUCAAACUCGUGAGUUGGUGUUAUUUUUUACUGUCAUGCGUGUUUAGAGGGCAAUUUGGCGGAGAUGAUUGAAUAUAUAGUAUGAUUUGUCUUCCAUUUAUUUUAUGAUGCGAUUUGGAUCUUAACUUUUUAUAUAAUAUGAUGUGAA